AUUGAACGCUGGCGGCAGGCCUAACACAUGCAAGUCGAGCGGAUGAAGGGAGCUUGCUCCUGGAUUCAGCGGCGGACGGGUGAGUAAUGCCUAGGAAUCUGCCUGGUAGUGGGGGAUAACGUCCGGAAACGGGCGCUAAUACCGCAUACGUCCUGAGGGAGAAAGUGGGGGAUCUUCGGACCUCACGCUAUCAUAUGAGCCUAGGUCGGAUUAGCUAGUUGGUGGGGUAAAGGCCUACCAAGGCGACGAUCCGUAACUGGUCUGAGAGGAUGAUCAGUCACACUGGAACUGAGACACGGUCCAGACUCCUACGGGAGGCAGCAGUGGGGAAUAUUGGACAAUGGGCGAAAGCCUGAUACAGCCAUGCCGCGUGUGUGAAGAAGGUCUUCGGAUUGUAAAGCACUUUAAGUUGGGAGGAAGGGCAGUAAGUUAAUACCUUGCUGUUUUGACGUUACCAACAGAAUAAGCACCGGCUAACUUCGUG
rnacentral:rRNA from 1 species